UGACACGGGGUGCUGCCCAGCGGACGCUGGGAUUUGCUGAGACGAGACCCGAAGAACCUGAUACGGAUAAUGCCGUCGGAGGGAAUG
rnacentral:ncRNA from 1 species